rnacentral:tRNA from 1 species
GCCAGUCUGGCCGAGUUUGGUUAAGGCGGUGCACUUAAGAUGCACUCCCUCAGGGGGUCGUCGGUUCGAAUCCGACGGCUGGCA